rnacentral:rRNA from 1 species
GAUGAACGCUGGCGGCGUGCCUAACACAUGCGAGUCGAACGAAGCACCUUACCUGAUUCUUCGGAUGAAAGUUUGGUGACUGAGUGGCGGACGGGUGAGUAACGCGUGGGUAACCUGCCCUGUACAGGGGGAUAACAGCUGGAAACGGCUGCUAAUACCGCAUAAGCGCACGAGGAGACAUCUCCUUGUGUGAAAAACUCCGGCGGUACAGGAUGGGCCCGCGUCUGAUUAGCUGGUUGGCAGGGUAACGGCCUACCAAGGCAACGAUCAGUAGCCGGUCUGAGAGGAUGAACGGCCACAUUGGAACUGAGACACGGUCCAAACUCCUACGGGAGGCAGCAGUGGGGAAUAUUGCACAAUGGGGGAAACCCUGAUGCAGCAACGCCGCGUGAGUGAAGAAGUAUUUCGGUAUGUAAAGCUCUAUCAGCAGGGAAGAUAAUGACGGUACCUGACUAAGAAGCUCCGGCUAAAUACGUG